UGGGGAAUUUUGGACAAUGGGCGAAAGCCUGAUCCAGCAAUGCCGCGUGUGUGAAGAAGGCCUUCGGGUUGUAAAGCACUUUUGUCCGGAAAGAAAUCCUUGGCUCUAAUACAGUCGGGGGAUGACGGUACCGGAAGAAUAAGCACCGGCCAACUACGUGCCAGCAGCCGCGGUAAUACGUAGGGUGCAAGCGUUAAUCGGAAUUACUGGGCGUAAAGCGUGCGCAGGCGGUUUGCUAAGACCGAUGUGAAAUCCCCGGGCUCAACCUGGGAACUGCAUUGGUGACUGGCAGGCUAGAGUAUGGCAGAGGGGGGUAGAAUUCCACGUGUAGCAGUGAAAUGCGUAGAGAUGUGGAGGAAUACCGAUGGCGAAGGCGAGCCCCCUGGGCCAAUACUGGACGCUCAUGCACGAAAAGCGUGGGGGAGCAAAACAGGAUUAGAUACCCCUGGGUAGUCCACGCCCUAAAACGAUGUCAACUAGUUGUUGGGGAUUCAUUUCCUUAGUAACGUAGCUAACGCGUGAAGUUGACCGCCUGGGGAGUACGGUCGCAAGAUUAAAACUCAAAGGAAUUGACGGGGUC
rnacentral:rRNA from 1 species